rnacentral:rRNA from 1 species
UACGUAGGGACCUAGCGUUGUCCGGAAUCAUUGGGCGUAAAGAGCGCGUAGGCGGCCCGGUAAGUCCGUUGUAAAAGUCGAAGGCUCAACCUUCGAAAGCCGAUGGAUACUGCCGGGCUAGAGUACGGAAGAGGCGAGUAGAAUUCCUGGUGUAGCGGUGGAAUGCGCAGAUAUCAGGAGGAAUACCCAUAGCGAAGGCAGCUCGCUGGGACGUUACUGACGCUGAGGCGCGAAAGCGUGGGGAGCGAACAGG